UACGUAGGGGGCAAGCGUUUGUCCGGAUUUAUUGGGCGUAAAGAGCGUGUAGGCGGUCAGGUAGGUCCGUUGUGAAAACUCGAGGCUCAACCUCGAGACGCCGAUGGAAACCAUCUGACUAGAGUCCGGAAGAGGAGAGUGGAAUUCCUGGUGUAGCGGUGAAAUGCGCAGAUAUCGGGAGGAACACCCAAUGGCGAAGGCAGCUCGCUGGGACGGUACUGACGCUGAGGCGCGAAAGCGUAGGGAGCAAACAGG
rnacentral:rRNA from 1 species